rnacentral:rRNA from 1 species
UACGUAGGGUGCAAGCGUUGUCCGGAAUUAUUGGGCGUAAAGAGCUCGUAGGCGGUCUGUCGCGUCGGCUGUGAAAACCCGGAGCUCAACUCCGGGCCUGCAGUCGAUACGGGCAAACUGGAGUGUUGCAGGGGAGACUGGAAUUCCUGGUGUAGCGGUGAAAUGCGCAGAUAUCAGGAGGAACACCGGUGGCGAAGGCGGGUCUCUGGGCAACAACUGACGCUGAGGCGCGAAAGCGUGGGGAGCAAACAGG